GGGUACUCGAGCGGCGAACGGGUGAGUAACACGUGAGUAACCUGCCCUUGGCUCUGGGAUAAGCCCGGGAAACUGGGUCUAAUACCGGAUAUGACACGUCACUGCAUGGUGUGCGUGUGGAAAGUUUUUCGGCCAGGGAUGGGCUCGCGGCCUAUCAGCUUGUUGGUGGGGUGAUGGCCUACCAAGGCGACGACGGGUAGCCGGCCUGAGAGGGCGACCGGCCACACUGGGACUGAGACACGGCCCAGACUCCUACGGGAGGCAGCAGUGGGGAAUAUUGCGCAAUGGGCGGAAGCCUGACGCAGCGACGCCGCGUGGGGGAUGAAGGCCUUCGGGUUGUAAACCUCUUUCACCACCGACGAAGCGAAAGUGACGGUAGGUGGGGAAGAAGCGCCGGCUAACUACGUGCCAGCAGCCGCGGUAAUACGUAGGGCGCAAGCGUUGUCCGGAAUUAUUGGGCGUAAAGAGCUCGUAGGCGGUCCGUUACGUCUGCCGUGAAAACCCGAGGCUUAACCUCGGGCCUGCGGUGGAUACGGGCGGACUAGAGGUAGGUAGGGGGAGAAAUGGAAUUCCCGGGUGUAGCGGUUGAAAUGCGCAGAUAUCGGGGAGGAACACCGGGUGGCGAAGGCGGUUCUCUGGGCCUUACCUGACGCUG
rnacentral:rRNA from 1 species